UGAGUAACACGUAUCCAACCUGCCGUCUACUCUUGGACAGCCUUCUGAAAGGAAGAUUAAUACAAGAUGGCAUCAUGAGUUCACAUGUUCACAUGAUUAAAGGUAUUCCGGUAGACGAUGGGGAUGCGUUCCAUUAGAUAGUAGGCGGGGUAACGGCCCACCUAGUCUUCGAUGGAUAGGGGUUCUGAGAGGAAGGUCCCCCACAUUGGAAAUGAGACACGGUCCAA
rnacentral:rRNA from 1 species